GGAGAGGUGGCCGAGUGGCUGAAGGCAACGGUUUGCUAAACCGUCAUAGUUAGUAAUAGCUAUCGGGAGUUCGAAUCUCCCCCUCUCCG
rnacentral:tRNA from 1 species